CUCUACAAGACUACAACUCUCUCGCCUUGAACUCUCGUAGCAUCUACAACUCCAAGUUUCCAACACCUACAUCACAUCUCACACCUCGCAUUUGGCAUCUGCACCUGCAUCGGAAACUAUGGCUGCUUGCUAGAGAUUUCUAGAAAAAGAGAGGGAGCGAGAGAGAGGAGAGAGAAUUGUUUUGGAUUUUUGUGUCAUGGGCUCACGGGAAGAGUGAAAAUUUAUGUAGGAAGAGAAAUUUUUGUUUGACUUUGCCACGUGUGUGGUUUUUUAGGACUAAAAUAAAUAUAUUUUUAAUGAGGGAAACCUGGUCCAAUUGUUUUUCCAAUUAAAAACAAAGUCCAACUAUGAUUAAUAUAUAUGGGGUAAGUAAAUGUUACAAAAUUAACAAAAAAAAAAAAGUCCUCAAAUUAUACAUUACUAAAGAUAAGUAUCUUACAUUACUAAAUUUCCUUAUUUUCCUCCUAUUUCUAUUUUAUGUUGUUUUAAAUUGUGAACUUGUUGUACAUGUGUCAUCUUACAAGACUCUUCACUAUGGUUAUAUGGCAUAUAUGCUCAAUGUGUUUUUAAAUUUU
rnacentral:lncRNA from 1 species